rnacentral:tRNA from 1 species
GCGUCAGUGGUUCAACGGCAGAACGGCCGGCUUCUACCCAGCAGAUGCGGGUUCGACCCCCGUCAGGCGCU